rnacentral:rRNA from 1 species
GGGGAGGGGAUUAGUGGCGAACGGGUGAGUAACACGUGGGCAAUCUGCCCUGCACUCUGGGACAAGCCCUGGAAACGGGGUCUAAUACCGGAUAUGAGCCUCCAUCGCAUGGUGGGGGCUGUAAAGCUCCGGCGGUGCAGGAUGASCCCGCGGCCUAUCAGCUUGUUGGUGAGGUAAUGGCUCACCAAGGCGACGACGGGUAGCCGGCCUGAGAGGGCGACCGGCCACACUGGGACUGAGACACGGCCCAGACUCCUACGGGAGGCAGCAGUGGGGAAUAUUUGCACAAUGGGCGCAAGCCUGAUGCAGCGACGCCGCGUGAGGGAUGACGGCCUUCGGGUUGUAAACCUCUUUCAGCAGGGAAGAAGCGAAAGUGACGGUACCUGCAGAAGAAGCGCCGGCUAACUACGUGCCAGCAGCCGCGGUAAUACGUAGGGCGCAAGCGUUGUCCGGAAUUAUUGGGCGUAAAGAGCUCGUAGGCGGCUUGUCGCGUCGGUUGUGAAAGCCCGGGGCUUAACCCCGGGUCUGCAGUCGAUACGGGCAGGCUAGAGUUCGGUAGGGGAGAUCGGAAUUCCUGGUGUAGCGGUGAAAUGCGCAGAUAUCAGGAGGAACACCGGUGGCGAAGGCGGAUCUCUGGGCCGAUACUGACGCUGAGGAGCGAAAGCGUGGGGAGCGAACAGGAUUAGAUACCCUGGUAGUCCACGCCGUAAACGGUGGGCACUAGGUGUGGGCAACAUUCCACGUUGUCCGUG